rnacentral:rRNA from 1 species
UUGACCUCGGAUCAGGUAGGAAUACCCGCUGAACUUAAGCAUAUCAAUAAGCGGAGGAAAAGAAACCAACAGGGAUUGCCCUAGUAACGGCGAGUGAAGCGGCAACAGCUCAAAUUUGAAAUCUGGCUCUCGGGCCCGAGUUGUAAUUUGUAGAGGAUGCUUUUGGCAAGGUGCCUUCCGAGUUCCCUGGAACGGGACGCCAUAGAGGGUGAGAGCCCCGUCUGGUUGGACACCGAGCCUCUGUAAAGCUCCUUCGACGAGUCGAGUAGUUUGGGAAUGCUGCUCUAAAUGGGAGGUAUAUGUCUUCUAAAGCUAAAUACUGGCCAGAGACCGAUAGCGCACAAGUAGAGUGAUCGAAAGAUGAAAAGCACUUUGAAAAGAGAGUUAAAAAGCACGUGAAAUUGUUGAAAGGGAAGCGCUUAUGACCAGACUUGGGCUUGGUUGAUCAUCCGGCGUUCUCGCCGGUGCACUCUUCCAGUUCAGGCCAGCAUCAGUUUGCCUCGGGGGAUAAA